rnacentral:rRNA from 1 species
UAGGGAAUCUUCCGCAAUGGACGAAAGUCUGACGGAGCAACGCCGCGUGAGUGAAGAAGGAUUUCGGUUCGUAAAACUCUGUUGUUAGGGAAGAAAAAAUGUAUAGUAACUAUAUACAAAAGAGACGGUACCUAACCAGAAAGCCACGGCUAACUACGUGCCAGCAGCCGCGGUAAUACGUAGGUGGCAAGCGUUGUCCGGAAUUAUUGGGCGUAAAGCGCGCGCAGGUGGUUUAGAAAGUCUGAUGUGAAAGCCCACGGCUCAACCGUGGAGGGUCAUUGGAAUCUAAUAAACUUGAGUGCAGGAGAGAAAAGUGGAAUUCCUAGUGUAGCGGUGAAAUGCGUAGAGAUUAGGAGGAACACCGGUGGCGAAAGCGGCUUUUUGGCCUGCAACUGACACUGAGGCGCGAAAGCGUGGGGAGCAAACAGG